rnacentral:rRNA from 1 species
AUUGAACGCUGGCGGCAGGCCUAACACAUGCACGUAGAACGAGUGGCGGACGGGUGAGUAAUGUCUGUGACACUGCCCGAUGGAGGGGGGUCACUACUGGAAACGGUAGCUAAUCCCGCAUACCAUCGGAUGUCCCCAGAUGGGAUUAGCUAGUAGGUGGGGUAACGGCUCACCUAGGCGACGAUCCCUAGCUGGGCUGUGAGGAGGACCAGCCACACUGGAACGGAGCCACGGUCCAGACGCCAACGGGAGGCAGCAGUGGGGAAGAUUGGACAAUGGGCGCAAGCCUGAGGCAGCCAUGCCGCGUGUAUGAAGAAGGCCUUCGGGUUGUAAAGUACUUUCAGCGAGGAGGCGUUACUCGCAGAAGAAGCACCGGCUAACUCCGUGCCAGCAGCCGCGGUAAUUC